CAAGAUGUUUUGUUUCUUUGUGAUGCAAUCUGAUUUCGUUGCAGCUUGGGAUCUUUCUGAGGCGUUCAGAUUCUAAUGAUCUGUCAUUCUCAAAUGAUCGCGAUAGCAGAGAUAGCAACGUGAAUGUGCAUUUAUCCUGUUAAAUGUGGAACACUCAAAUAAUGAGAUCAACAACAGUUGUUUUAAAAUGUUAGAACUAUAUAUUAAAUGGAGCUUCGUAGUGUAUGAAUGACGUGUUUUCAUUUCAUUUGUGUUAAAAUUAAUAGACUUAUAUAAUAACAAUACAGAAAGUAUCUACAUCGCGUUAUUGUGACAGUGAAUAUUUCGGUAACUUUCCUGAUUAAUGCAAAAAUAUAUAGCGAACAUAGUGACGGAAAAAAAUGGUAUAUUCGUUGAUUGUCUGCCCUGCACAAGGUCACGUCAGCACGAUGUAUUUUUAAUUUUGCUGCGGAAAAGAAGAAAUUCUCAAAGUCAAGAAUGACGUUUAACGACGGUUAACACUGAAUCAGCUGCUCGAACGGAUAGAACACAAAUUGGUCAAUGGCGACCUCAAAUAAUCCCAAUGGGAUGGCAGGCAUGGAAGAGAUCCUAGAGCUGGCUAGAUUAUUACGAAAAAAUGGUGAUACUGUUCUUAGUGGAGCAAGCAAAUUAUCUCUUUCCACCAAACUGCUACACAAUCUCAAUGAUGCAUUUUCAAUCAUUGUCGAUGACAAGCAAGAAAUUGAUAGUUCGUUCCAAGUCUGCAACAGCUCUAAAAAUGAUGUUUUUAGAAAUAUCAAAUUCCUUCAUGAUUUUGUACAGAAGACAAUUUGGUUGAAAGUUUCUCACAACUGCAAUGAUCCACGGAUCCCUGUGGAUAUAUCAAAAUUUCGUCAGUUGAGAUUUUUGGAGCUUCGUAAAGUUUGUAUCGAUCUAGUCAGUGGAAUUCAAGGAGUAAGAGGACAAUUAGAAAGUAUUUCUUGUACUGGAGGAGGAGGUGUGGGCACUGUUGGAAGAUUGCUGGCUUCUUGUGGUCGUGAUGCUGGAGUUGGCUUUGUCUGGGCUUCUAUGAAACGUUUAGCAUUACCAUACAAUGGACUUGGGAGACUGGAUAAAUCUUUGGAACUCGCGCCAUGGCUCCAAACCUUAGAUUUGAGUCAUAAUCUUAUUAUUUCGACCAGCGAACUGGAUUGUCUCCCAAGUUUGAAAUAUGUUAAUCUUGGGUAUAAUAAACUGGAGGCAGCUCCUACCUUGAACAAGGCUACAUAUCAUACUUUGCAAAUUCUAGUAUUGAGAAAUAAUUAUAUUGAAAAUUUGAACGGCUUACAAGGUUUGGAUUGUUUGGCGGAGCUCGAUUUGUCAUAUAAUUGUCUCGACGAUCAUUCAGUUCUGUGGCCAUUGGAAACUAUGUCAGCUUUAUUAUGGGUUGCUCUUGAAGGAAAUCCUCUCGCCUACUACAAAAAACAUAGAUUGCUCACAAUCAAACAUCUUCAUUCGGCCUUAUCUGAAAGUAAACUUAUCACGUCACAUCAGUUUGUUUUAGAUCACGAGCCAUUAAGUAAAACAGAGAAAAUGUUGGUCUCGCACAACCGGACGUUCAUGAUCAGGUCUGCACCAUCGCCAUCAAAAGAUGAUCAGGCCUCGAUGACCAGUUCUAUUAUGUCCAACGUGACAUUACCAUCGGUAGAAAAUACAUAUCACAAUGAUCUAUUAAUCACUCAAAGAUCUGAUUUGAUGGAGGGUAAUGAAAGAAUGGCAACGCGCAAUAGAAAAAAGAAAUAUGUCUGUGAAGCGAUUAUAACGGAUGAGGAUACCAAGGAAAAUACGACAGAUAUGUCGUCGAGUAUUGCUUCUUCGCUCCUGGAAACUUCGGCUGAUCAUUUGGAAACAAAAAAACAAAUUCUCGCUUUGAGAGCUAAAUUCGGCGACGAGAAAUGGUUGGUCAGUGAUGCGGGUUCCUUUGUCCAAGAUAUAAUGGGUCUUGAAAGAUCCGUCGUUCCUACAUUACAAAUUGCAUCUGGUUUGGAUCCAUCAUUGCACUCAGUUGUUACGACCGUUAGUACAAAAUAUUCAACCAAUUUUUCAACUGAUUCUGCGGUUUGGAGUAACGAGUCAUCGAGCGAUGACGUUGCAACUGAGUCGGCGGUUCUCAAAGGCGAUGAAGUUGAGCGCGAAGAGAACGAUAUCAUUGUUGACGAAUCAGAGGGUGACAAAACUAUCAAUAUUAAAGACCAAAUAGAGUCUCUAAAAGUCACUGAACCGCUCUAUGACCCGGGGGAAGAGACGGGAGAAUUAUAUUUGGUCCAGCAAAAAUCGAACAGCGAAGAGAUGCAAACAUUUUUCUUAGUCAUAACACCGGAAGAAAUUAAAGAAAUCGAUUGGAUCACUGGACGCUUGAGAUACAGGUGGUCAACUGACACUGUAUUGUCGUGUGUCAUGGGACGUGGCGAGACUCCAACAAUUGAUUUUAUAUUCGAUACUACGCGAAAGGAUCGACAAAAUCGAACCUACUUCGUCGAGAAAGAAGACGCUCCGAAAAUCGUUAAAACUGUGGGUGACUUGAUAAAAGUUCGUCCCAUAUUACUGAAAGUUUUCAAAUGCAUGAAAUGUUCGACGCAUUUUUCACAAGACCCGGAUUACGUGACUGGAGUGACAACAACUACAAUAUCCAGUAUAAAACCCCCGAAAUGUCCAACUUGUAGGAGUACGUUAGUAAUACAAACCGAUGAACUCUUGACUCCAGACGUCGAAGAUGCAAAAAAAGAUUUUGAAAAAUCGCCUUCGAAAAGUCACACUGAUGAAAAUACUGUUCAAGGAAAUUUACAGCAUUCCGGAUCGCAUUCUAGCAUCGGUGGAACAGAGGGCGGACCUAUGCUCGUCACCACUUCUUUGGUGCAAUACGACUCUCGCCCCCAAGCUCAAGUCAGCUGUUCAGCAACGAGUCUUGAGGAAUCACGUGAAUCAACGCCCUCGGCGAGUACAGUCACAAAACGUUAUGAGAGUGAUAUUGAGAUAUUGAGUAAUCCAAGUCAAAGUAGUAUCGAGGUAUUGGACGAUGGAACAAAAGCGAGUUCGACGCCGAAUAGAAAACGAUCGUCGGAAGAGAGACGCGUUGCGAUUGCUCCCACCCUCUUAACAAUUCCAGACACAGCUCCUGUUAUGACGGGCUUAACAGAAAGUAGCUCUUCAGGAUCAUUGACUGACAGUAUUUGUACGGCUUACGAGAAUAAAGCCUUGAGGACACCCGGAAUAGCGAGCAAACGGAACGAUAAAAAAAUGUUAUCUGGCUGUGAAACCCCAACAAAUUCUGAACCAUCAAAAAUCGCUACAUCGACAACACCUGUAGGAAAUCUGACUUCGAUGCUCGGAGGAUUGCUUCAGAGCAUGAAAAUUGUUACGCCCAAAAGUACUCCGACCAAGCCCGAGGAAGCAACGGAUUUUUUAGAAACCGAUAUAGAAUAUUCGUAUGAUGACUUUGGAAGUGUCGAUCACAGAAUAAAAUUGCAUCUGGUAUUGAACGUUUUCGAACAGGAGAACGAAAAAUUCCGCAUGCUUUUGAGGGCUCAAAUGAUCAUGCAAGAUUCGACAGAACCUUUCCAAGGAUGUCUUGUUUUGUCAAACUGCAAAGUGUACGUGCUCAAGAUAAUCGGUCCAGAGAGUGGUGAUCCUCAGCGCUGGUUGAGCAAGGAAAUGAGUUGGACGCACGACAAAUUGCGAUGUAUUGCUCCCUUACCCUUCAAACAAGGUGUGCUAGUGGAGUUAGUAAAACGCAAUGUACCCAAAGAAGAUCCAAUCGAAAUAGAUAUCGUAUGCAUACUUCAAGAUUUCAAAAGAACUUCGAACCUUCUCUACUACCUAACGGACUUAGGUCUACCUUUCCAGUGUCAAUUGGAUUCGACAGCACCAUCUCACUACAAAAGAGUUUUACUGGAUUCGAUGGAUUUGUCUUCGAACUGGAAAUCCUGGGAGAUUCGGCGAUUUUACUCACAGGCGAAAAGGUCCAAUGGCUUUUGCCGAUAAGCGAAGAAAAGCCACAGAUUAUCGCGGAACACGCCAUAAGCAACUUGAUUGAAGUGGGACACCGUCGUUGUCUCCUCGAUUUGAGUUUUAUCGAUGAAGUUGGUGGAGUUGAGGAUAUAUGGAGGCUCGUAUUUGUAUCAUCGGAUGCUGCCAAAGCUGUAAUCAAUGCGAUCGAGGCACCUUGGGAAAAGUU
rnacentral:misc_RNA from 1 species